CAGUCGCCACGGGAAUACAGAGGGUGCGAGCGUUAAUCGGAUUUACUGGGCGUAAAGCGUGCGUAGGCGGUUAUAUAAGACAGAUGUGAAAUCCCCGGGCUCAACCUGGGAACUGCAUUUGUGACUGUAUAGCUAGAGUACGGCAGAGGGGGAUGGAAUUCCGCGUGUAGCAGUGAAAUGCGUAGAUAUGCGGAGGAACACCGAUGGCGAAGGCAAUCCCCUGGGCCUGUACUGACGCUCAUGCACGAAAGCGUGGGGAGCAAACAGGAUUAGAUACCCGCGUAGUCCCUGUCUCUUAUAA
rnacentral:rRNA from 1 species